UUAGGGUUUCGCUUCCGUGCAUACACUGACGAACAAACCCUUAGGGCGUUAAAGGCCCAGUUGAAGUUAGCGUGCAAAAUCUACAACACCUUAAGGUGGGCAGAC
rnacentral:scRNA from 1 species